GGUACCUGGAAAGAAAAGACAAAGCCAUAUUAGGUACAAAAAGGAACUUCCUUCCCGAUGUCGCCGAGCGAAACUCAUUGAUGCGGCGAGUGUCAGCCUACAUACUGUCAGUUGCUGAAACCACAAGAACCAAGCACAGUGGAGCAAGAGGAUAGCGACAAAAGCAGCUUCCCAGGAGGCUUCCAGUCCUCCGUGGGCGUCUAAUAUCUGUGGGCGGUCCCAUUAGAGAACUGUCACGACAAACGAAAACCUCUCUGCGACGCAUCAUCUACCAACGAUUGCUAUUGCACAAUACGCGUGUCUCUCUUCCCCCCUGGGCCAUCGCUAGAUGGAGCCCCAGGCUGGAGCGAGUCAUGGAUAACGGGAAUACUAACUGAAAACGGCUACUGCGAGAGAGAAGUAGUGUCCACCAAUAGGAUGCUGAUCUGUGGCUUCCUGCCUCUGCUUUUGUGAGAUCCCGGAGGGAAGGCGGCCGCAUCCCUUACAAAGGACGGAAGAGUGGCCAUGCUCGUCAUCCGACCUGUGUGUGCAUUGAGGGUGUGAACAAGGACAAGAGCCACGUGGGCAAAUGCAAGCUGACUGUCUCGGAGGAGAAACUCUAAAUAUAUCGACAAAGACACAGGGAGUGAUGUAGCGGCUGAAGAGCUUGCUUGUUGCCAUGCCGGGCUGCACGCUGCCGCUGCUCCGCCUCGCAGGGAUUCGUCGUCUACUGCGUGGCGUUUCAUUGGAAUGCUCGUGUUGCCCCCCAGUAGGAAUACACUGGCGGGUCAGCGAUCAAUUGGCCAAAUUAUGUUCGCUUACACAAUUAAACAGAAGGUGCCACUUUGAUGCAGUUAGUGUUUUUGGGUUGGAAAACAUCAUGUGAAGGCGAUGCACCUCAUCAUUUCAACUAACUAGACUCACGGGAAGUCUGUAAGAUGAUUUGAUGUCCGGAGGUGGAAUCGAACCUGCACACUCCUAACUGUGAGGCAGACGUGCUAACAAGUGUGCCGCCCUUUUGUCGUAAAAUGCACUAUAUAAUUAAAGUUGUUUUGUAUUGUAUUGGAUAGUCAAGGAUUUUGAUAAUCGGUCAUUUAACGAUUGACGCUUUUGUCAUAUAUUUUACUUCCCAUGUUCUUGCCCUAUCUGAACGUCAGUUAUUGAGAUAUGUCUCAGUCCAGCUAUUGUACAUUUUAUUUGGUAUGAUUUUAGUUGUGCUAAUAUAUUUGCAUGUUAAAAGUGCAUUUUUCACUGUAACUAAAAAAGCAAUUAAAUGUAAAGUAUGUUUAACA